rnacentral:rRNA from 1 species
UACGAAGGGGGCUAGCGUUGCUCGGAAUCAUUGGGCGUAAAGCGCACGUAGGCGGUCCAGCAAGCGGGGAGUGAAAUCCCUCGGCUUAACCGAGGAAGUGCUUUCCGAACUACUGGACUUGAAUACUGAAGAGGAUCGCGGAAUUCCCGGUGUAGAGGUGAAAUUCGUAGAUAUCGGGAGGAACACCAGUGGCGAAGGCGGCGAUCUGGGCAGAUAUUGACGCUGAGGUGCGAAAGCGUGGGGAGCAAACAGG